rnacentral:rRNA from 1 species
UCAGGUGGUUAUUGCGCCGGGGAUCCACCUCUUCCCUUUCCGAACAGAGUAGUUAAGACCGGUCGCGCCAAUGGUACUGCAUUUUGUGGGAGAGUAGGAAGCCGCCUUUC